GUUGAGGUCUGUCCUAAUGGGGCAUGCUCUGUAGCUGCACACCAUUGGAAAUGCCUCAUACAGCGACUCCGUGGUUUACUUUCAUCACAGGAUUAUCUGUCAGAUCUACGGGGAGGAACUCCAGGACAGAU